rnacentral:lncRNA from 1 species
CCAGUCACUCUGGACGCAGUCCCUUGGAAGCAAACUAUCCUUCUGUGGUCUCUGCAUGUGACAGAGAAGGAAGAUGGCCUCUAUGCUCUCAGCUAUAUUAGUAAAUUCCUCAGGAGUUUACAUCAACUGGGAGAAUCUGUAUCCUUAAAAUUAAAACAUUUAAAUCAUGAGUAUAAGAGUCCAAGCUUUGGAUCAAGAAAUCACCUCCAUCUUGGUUGGAGUUUGGGGUAUGGUGUGUAUUUGAAGAUUCAAACUCCACGUGGUCUUCAGGAGCUCAAACACUCUCACACAGAACAGAAAGGAAGUCUCCAAAACGAAUGUGAAAUUGACAAAUCACCGCACUGCUUCAGGACCCCAGCCCAUGGAAUGCUGUGAUCAACAUUCAGAGUCGAUCAUCCUACAUCAAUUACCCUAAUCUAGGAAAUCCCACAGAGCCAGGACCAAAGACUCAAAUGGUCAUUAAAAGAAGAUAGUUUGAGGAAAUCCAUUUCAAUUGCUCUGCAUUGGAGAAAUCAUUAUUCUACGUGCACAGUUUUGAAGACCCAAUAUGACUAUUUUAGGCAUCAACUCUUCCUUAGAAAUUGUUAGUUUGGAGGGAUCAAAUUACAGAGAUUACUUCAUAUUUGGGAAAAGAAAACACAACAACCAAAAAUGCUAUUGCUAAAUGCACUUGCCAGAGUC